rnacentral:rRNA from 1 species
CAGUAGCCACGGGAAUACAGAGGGUGCAAGCGUUAAUCGGAAUUACUGGGCGUAAAGCGCGCGUAGGUGGUUUGUUAAGUUGGAUGUGAAAGCCCCGGGCUCAACCUGGGAACUGCAUCCAAAACUGGCAAGCUAGAGUACGGUAGAGGGUGGUGGAAUUUCCUGUGUAGCGGUGAAAUGCGUAGAUAUAGGAAGGAACACCAGUGGCGAAGGCGACCACCUGGACUGAUACUGACACUGAGGUGCGAAAGCGUGGGGAGCAAACAGGAUUAGAUACCCCAGUAGUCCCUGUCUCUUAUAU